AUUGAACGCUGGCGGCAGGCCUAACACAUGCAAGUCGAGCGGAUGAAGGGAGCUUGCUCCUGGAUUCAGCGGCGGACGGGUGAGUAAUGCCUAGGAAUCUGCCUGGUAGUGGGGGAUAACGUCCGGAAACGGGCGCUAAUACCGCAUACGUCCUGAGGGAGAAAGUGGGGGAUCUUCGGACCUCACGCUAUCAGAUGAGCCUAGGUCGGAUUAGCUAGUUGGUGGGGUAAAGGCCUACCAAGGCGACGAUCCGUAACUGGUCUGAGAGGAUGAUCAGUCACACUGGAACUGAGACACGGUCCAGAGUCCUACGGGGGGCAGCAGUGGGGAAUAUUGGACACUGGGCGAAAGCCUGAUCCAGCCAUGCCGCGUGUGUGAAGAAGGUCUUCGGAUUGUAAAGCACUUUAAGUUGGGAGGAAGGGCAGUAAGUUAAUACCUUGCUGUUUUGACGUUACCAACAGAAUAAGCACCGGCUAACUUCGUG
rnacentral:rRNA from 1 species